AGAUGUGUGUUUGGUCGUGUCCACACAUUUGCUCCUCGUUUGUGCAAGCGAAAAAAAUUGUCAAAUCAUCUGAUUUUGAGGACCAAUACAUCUUUUACAUACGUACCAGACACACCGCCCCGAGAUGCAGGUGAAACAACUCGUAUGAAUCUCUUCCAGUCUGUGACAAGUGCUUUGGACUUAACAUUGGAGAAAGAUCCUACUGCUAUCGUGUUUGGAGAGGAUGUUGCAUUUGGCGGUGUUUUCAGGUGUACAGUAGGCUUGAAAGACAAAUAUGGAAAGGACAGAGUUUUUAAUUCCCCUCUGAGUGAACAAGGCAUUGUGGCAUUUGGUAUAGGGGCAGCAGUUGCCGGAGCUACUGCUGUGGCUGAGAUUCAGUUUGCAGAUUAUAUAUUUCCAGCUUUUGAUCAGUUGGUCAAUGAAGCAGCAAAGUUCAGGUAUAGGACAGGUAACAUUUGGGACUGUGGAGGACUGACAGUCCGCACCCCCUCAGGGGCUGUGGGCCAUGGUGCUAUGUAUCACUCCCAGAGUGUAGAGGCCUACUUCUCACACUGUGCUGGCCUUAAGCUUGUGAUUCCCCGUGGUCCUAUCCAGGCUAAGGGACUCUUACUAAGCUGCAUUCGGGACCAGAACCCUACGAUUUUCUUUGAGCCUAAGAUUUUGUACAGAGCUGCGGUUGACCAAGUACCCACUGGAGAUUACACCAUACCCUUAUCAGAGGCUGAAAUACUCCUGGAAGGUUCAGAUCUGACAAUGAUUGGCUGGGGCACCCAGGUUCAUGUAUUGAGGGAGGUAGCUGGUAUGGUACAAGAGAAGUUAAAUGUGUCAGCGGAGGUCAUUGAUUUGAGGACUAUUAUUCCAUGGGAUGUGGACACAGUUUGUAAGUCGGUGGCUAAAACUGGCAGAUGUCUCAUAGCUCAUGAGGCUCCAAAGACGAGUGGCUUUGGUGCAGAAUUAGCUGCCACAAUUCAGUCUGAGUGUUUUCUGAACCUGGAGGCUCCAGUGGAGAGGGUGUGUGGUUAUGACACGCCCUUCCCUCUUAUAUAUGAACCAUUUUAUAUGCCGGAUAAAUGGAGAUGUUUUGAAGCUGUGAAGAGAUUGAUAAAUUAUUGAGGAGGAUUGAUUGUACCUUAGUUUUUGUCAGGAGCUAGGGGGAAUUUCCCUCCAACUCGGUACCUAAGUGCUGGAUUUCAGAUGUUGAGAUCUGAGGUCAAAUCCAGGUGCGAUGUACGUCACAACUAUUUCAGUUAUGGAAGAGCAUUUUUGACUGGUCUAACGAGGUACCGGUACCCAAAAUAAGCUGUUUGCUAGUGAACCAGUGCAAGGAGAAAAGUAAGCUUCUGCCGUACUCCUGCCAGAUGAGUUUCCUUCAGAAUUGGAACUUAAUUUGGAACUGAUACUCAAAAUCAAAAUGUCGAACGUUUUGGAAUGAUCAUAAUAUAUGUGUAUUUAAGACAUCGUAGAUGUUAUGGACAUCUAUGGAGCCGAUUUCACAAAGCCAUUUUUGGAUUAAGUAAAAAUUUAAGUAUUCAUCAGCUUGCUUAGUUUCAUGCCCAGUAAGCGCAAAUUUGUACAGACCUGUCGUAACAAAAAGACCAGAAAACUGUUCCAAAUUUUCACUCGGGUCCAAGAAUAAAUGCUUCAGUCAAGUGUCAAAUUUUGACAUAAGUAAAAACUGGCUUUGUGGAAUCUGCCCUUUCGUGAUUUAUUUAUAUAAAGGGUGCAUGUUUGCUGUUGGAAAUUGGCUUAUUUUACAGCAAUAGCUAUAGUUUCAUGAAACACAUUGGUAUUUAAGGGUCAAUUAAGGUGGUGGGCACUCAUAAUGUUUUUAAGGAGUUAGCUGUUAAUUAUGUGUCCUUCUCAAGAAAAAACAAAAAAAAAAAACAAAUAUUUGCCGUUUCAUAUGAACAAUAUAGUGAAAGGAAUCUCGGGGUUAAAAUGAUUUUUAAGGAUUUACUUGUACUCAGUGUAUUAAUGAAGAGUUGCCGGUGCUUGCAUUUGUUGUGUGUAAUAUGAUGCUCCAAACAUUGCUUCAUUUCCUGUUCUUCUCCUGGUUUAACUAAACUUCUUCUGAGUUCCUCGAGCUUGAGUAUCAUAAGUCCUAUAUAGUGUUUAACUUCAGUUUUUCUCAGCAAACACUCCAAGCUGGACUGCGGGUACCGACUUCAGUAGCUUCCUGAACUUUAAGUUUUGUUGAACAGGUUCCUAAUGUGUACAGCUGAACUUUGAAAUCUUGUCUGACACAAGGUAGGCCUGCAUCCUUCCUAUUGAAGACCAUCUGUCAGUUUGAUAUCUAAAACUAAACGGCUAAGUAGUGUGUAAGUUGCGUGUGAAUUGUAAAAUCUCUUGAUCCACAUUUGGAUCGUUUUUUUUUAUCUCAAACUUUAACAUUUAAAAAAAAAGGCCACCUAGACAGUGCUUGGUAUUGGAGACAGAUUAGCUAUAUAACUUAAUGGUCAGCAGGCUACAGUACCAAAUCACAUGCAUUACCUCACAUGCACUUACCUGCAUAGCUACAUAGCUACUAGGAGCUCUUGUGUCAGUGUAGCAAUGAAUCCUUCAUGCCAGUGUCCAGUGUGUACUUAUCGGUCAUUUUCUUCUGAUCUUGUCAUGUAUAGUAGUGCCGAAGCAGGUGUAUGUAAUUUCUUUUCAUGUAAUAAGAUUGCUAAAUAUUGCAAUUUCGCAAAAGUCAGUUGUUACACCUCAUACAUGUGUAUAUUGUAUAUAAAAUUUGGAUUCGUCAACUUUCUGUCAUUUACAGAACGACCAUCAUUGCAUGAGUCAGUAUUGUUAUGAAGAUGUGUUAUUAAUUCAGGGUCUUCUUUUCUACACCAAAAGCAAGAAACGGAAUUUCAUUGUCAUCUCUCUUUUUAAGAAUCCAUUUUUAGUCUACUUUCCUGAGACUAAAUAAUCUAUAGGGGUGCUUAAUUCGGAAAAUGUCUGUUUGACAGACAAAUACAUUGUGGGCAGAAAUAAGCUCGAACCCUCAAAAGUAUUUUAAGACAGUUUUUCGUGAGAUCAUCUGGUUACUCUGACUAUACGAGUUCUUUAUUGCUAGCUCCUGUAUCCUGUAAAAUAAAGACAUGAGCUGGCCUCAAACUUUUGUAUAUACAAACCAACAUCUCGAAAUAAACUUCACAGAAUCGGUUGUAAAGAACGCAUUAGUGUGUUUGAAUUUUUGAACCCACCUCCAGCUGACAGUCACCGCAGCUAGUCGUGUUAUGUUUUGUUUGUGGAGCUGUGACAUCAUGUGAUACAAAGGUUGUGUGAAGUUCAGUGUAAAAAUGUGCCUCAUGACCUAAGAACUUUACAUAUGUGACAUAUCUGUUGUCCCUUUUUUAUGUAAAAAAGGGGGUUUUUUCAGUAUAGUUUGGUGUAUGACAUGGUUAGAAUAUUUGCAAAGACGUAUGAAAUAGCGAUAUAAACGUAUGGGUUUUUGUCAGUCAGAUCUUCAAAUAA